rnacentral:rRNA from 1 species
ACGCCGCGUGUAUGAGAGGUUUUCGGAUCGUAAGCUCUGUUGUUAGAGAAGAACAAGGACGAUAGUAACUGCUCGUCCCCUGACGGUAUCUAACCAGAAAGCCACGGCUAACUACGUGCCAGCAGCCGCGGUAAUACGUAGGUGGCAAGCGUUGUCCGGAUUUAUUGGGCGUAAAGCGAGCGCAGGCGGUUUCUUAAGUCUGAUGUGAAAGCCCCCGGCUCAACCGGGGAGGGUCAUUGGAAACUGGAAGACUGGAGUGCAGAAGAGGAGAGUGGAAUUCCAUGUGUAGCGGUGAAAUGCGUAGAUAUAUGGAGGAACACCAGUGGCGAAGGCGACUCUCUGGUCUGUAACUGACGCUGAGGCUCGAAAGCGUGGGGAGCAAACAGGAUUAGAUACCCUGGUAGUCCACGCCGUAAACGAUGAGUGCUAAGUGUUGGAGGGUUCCGCCCUUCAGUGCUGCAGCUAACGCAUUAAGCACUCCGCCUGGGGAGUACGACCGCAAGGUUGAACUCAAAGGAAUUGACGGGGCCCGCACAAGCGGUGGAGCAUGUGGUUAAUUCGAAGCAACGCGAAGAACCUUACCAGGUCUUGACAUCCUUUGACCACUCUAGAGACAGAGCUUUCCCUUCGGGGACAAAGUGACAGGUGGUGCAUGGUUGUCGUCAGCUCGUGUCGUGAGAUGUUGGGUUAAGUCCCGCAACGAGCGCAACCCUUAUUGUAGUUGCCAUCAUUUAGUUGGGCACUCUAAAGAGACUGCCGGUGAAAACCGAGGAAGGGGGGAUG